rnacentral:rRNA from 1 species
AGAGUUUGAUCCUGGCUCAGGACGAACGCUGGCGGCGCGCCUAACACAUGCAAGUCGAACGAGAGAUGAGGAGCUUGCUCUUCAAAUCGAGUGGCGAACGGGUGAGUAACGCGUGAGGAACCUGCCUCAAAGAGGGGGACAACAAUUGGAAACGACUGCUAAUACCGCAUAAGUCCACAGCUCGGCAUCGAGCAGAGGGGAAAGGAGCAAUCCGCUUUGAGAUGGCCUCGCGUCCGAUUAGCUAGUUGGUGAGGUAACGGCCCACCAAGGCGACGAUCGGUAGCCGGACUGAGAGGUUGAACGGCCACAUUGGGACUGAGACACGGCCCAGACUCCUACGGGAGGCAGCAGUGGGGAAUAUUGCACAAUGGGGGAAACCCUGAUGCAGCGACGCCGCGUGGAGGAAGAAGGUCUUCGGAUUGUAAACUCCUGUUGUUGGGGAAGAUAAUGACGGUACCCAACAAGGAAGUGACGGCUAACUACGUGCCAGCAGCCGCGGUAAAACGUAGGUCACAAGCGUUGUCCGGAAUUACUGGGUGUAAAGGGAGCGCAGGCGGGAAGACAAGUUGGAAGUGAAAUCUAUGGGCUCAACCCAUAAACUGCUUUCAAAACUGUUUUUCUUGAGUAGUGCAGAGGUAGGCGGAAUUCCCGGUGUAGCGGUGGAAUGCGUAGAUAUCGGGAGGAACACCAGUGGCGAAGGCGGCCUACUGGGCACCAACUGACGCUGAGGCUCGAAAGUGUGGGUAGCAAACAGGAUUAGAUACCCUGGUAGUCCACACCGUAAACGAUGAUUACUAGGUGUUGGAGGAUUGACCCCUUCAGUGCCGCAGUUAACACAAUAAGUAAUCCACCUGGGGAGUACGACCGCAAGGUUGAAACUCAAAGGAAUUGACGGGGGCCCGCACAAGCAGUGGAGUAUGUGGUUUAAUUCGACGCAACGCGAAGAACCUUACCAAGUCUUGACAUCCCUUGACAGGCAUAGAAAUAUGUUUUCUCUUCGGAGCAAGGAGACAGGUGGUGCAUGGUUGUCGUCAGCUCGUGUCGUGAGAUGUUGGGUUAAGUCCCGCAACGAGCGCAACCCUUAUGGUCAGUUACUACGCAAGAGGACUCUGGCCAGACUGCCGUUGACAAAACGGAGGAAGGUGGGGAUGACGUCAAAUCAUCAUGCCCUUUAUGACUUGGGCUACACACGUACUACAAUGGCGUUAAACAAAGAGAAGCAAGACCGCGAGGUGGAGCAAAACUCAGAAACAACGUCCCAGUUCGGACUGCAGGCUGCAACUCGCCUGCACGAAGUCGGAAUUGCUAGUAAUCGUGGAUCAGCAUGCCACGGUGAAUACGUUCCCGGGCCUUGCACACACCGCCCGUCA